CCAGCCCCCGAAGCUCUCACCAUCAAUCCACCACCGCAGUCGCUCCAGAUCGAACAAACAAAUUCCCGUGCAUGCCCGUUGUUUGGGGCAAUUGGAUUGGCGUUCAACAAAUCGCGAUUCUAUUGAUACACAUUUACCUGUAUCUAUAUUUAUAUCUAGUUGAAUUCAAUUGCAAUGGCGAGUCAAUGAAUCAGCGUAUGUGUUCUUCGAUGAUUGUUUCUCUCUCCAUGGAUCGGAAGGUGAAUGCAGAGAGAGAGAGAGGAGGGAGGGAUUGGUCCGCCGUAAUUGUAAUCUUUUUACUGUAUAAAUUCAAAUUUUGGAUUUAAUAAUUCUAGUCAAUAAGUCAAGAAAAUUCUGUCGUGCUAGAGAGAGAGAGGGGUUGGGUUAGAGAGAGAGAGAGGGAGGGAAAAUGGAUUGGAUCAUUGGAGACAGAGAGAGAGAGAGAGAUG
rnacentral:lncRNA from 1 species